rnacentral:rRNA from 1 species
CUGCGGCGCUACCAUGCAAGUCGAACGGUAACAGGAAACAGCUUGCUGUUUCGCUGACGAGUGGCGGACGGGUGAGUAAUGUCUGGGAAACUGCCUGAUGGAGGGGGAUAACUACUGGAAACGGUAGCUAAUACCGCAUAACGUCGCAAGACCAAAGAGGGGGACCUUCGGGCCUCUUGCCAUCGGAUGUGCCCAGAUGGGAUUAGCUAGUAGGUGGGGUAACGGCUCACCUAGGCGACGAUCCCUAGCUGGUCUGAGAGGAUGACCAGCCACACUGGAACUGAGACACGGUCCAGACUCCUACGGGAGGCAGCAGUGGGGAAUAUUGCACAAUGGGCGCAAGCCUGAUGCAGCCAUGCCGCGUGUAUGAAGAAGGCCUUCGGGUUGUAAAGUACUUUCAGCGGGGAGGAAGGGAGUAAAGUUAAUACCUUUGCUCAUUGACGUUACCCGCAGAAGAAGCACCGGCUAACUCCGUGCCAGCAGCCGCGGUAAUACGGAGGGUGCAAGCGUUAAUCGGAAUUACUGGGCGUAAAGCGCACGCAGGCGGUUUGUUAAGUCAGAUGUGAAAUCCCCGGGCUCAACCUGGGAACUGCAUCUGAU